UACGUAGGGGGCAAGCGUUGUCCGGAAUUAUUGGGCGUAAGAGCUCGUAGGCGGUCCAUUAAGUCGGAAGUGAAAUCUCAGGGCUCAACCCUGAAAUUGCUUUCGAUACUGGUGGACUUGAGGCAGGUAGGGGAAGGUGGAAUUCCUGGUGUAGCGGUGAAAUGCGCAGAUAUCAGGAGGAACACCAGUGGCGAAGGCGGCCUUCUGGGCCUGUUCUGACGCUGAGGCGCGAAAGCCAGGGGAGCAAACGGG
rnacentral:rRNA from 1 species